GACGAACGCUGGCGGCGUGCUUAACACAUGCAAGUCGAACGGAAAGGCCCUGCUUUUGUGGGGUGCUCGAGUGGCGAACGGGUGAGUAACACGUGAGUAACCUGCCCUUGACUUUGGGAUAACUUCAGGAAACUGGGGCUAAUACCGGAUAGGAGCUCCUGCUGCAUGGUGGGGGUUGGAAAGUUUCGGCGGUUGGGGAUGGACUCGCGGCUUAUCAGCUUGUUGGUGGGGUAGUGGCUUACCCAGGCUUUGACGGGUAGCCGGCCUGAGAGGGUGACCGGCCACAUUGGGACUGAGAGAGGGCCCAGACUCCUACGGGAGGCAGCAGUGGGGAGUAUUGCACAAUGAGCGGAAGCCGGAUGCAGCAACGCCGCGUGCGGGAUGACGGCCUUCGGGUUGUAAACCGCUUUCGCCUGUGACGAAGCGUGUGUGACGGUAAUGGGUAAAGAAGCACCGGCUAACUACGUG
rnacentral:rRNA from 1 species